rnacentral:rRNA from 1 species
UACGGGGGGGGCAAGCGUUGUUCGGAAUUACUGGGCGUAAAGGGCUCGUAGGCGGCCAACUAAGUCGGAUGUGAAAUCCCUAGGCUUAACCUGGGAACUGCAUCCGAUACUGGAUGGCUUGAAUCCGGGAGAGGGAUGCAGAGUUCCAGGUGUAGCGGUGAAAUGCGUAGAUAUCUGGAGGAAUACCGGUGGCGAAGGCGGCAUCCUGGACCGGCAUUGACGCUGAUGAGCGAAAGCUAGGGGAGCAAACGGG